ensembl:lncRNA
CAAGGUCUACAGUGCUGAUGUUCCUGAGUUCCUUUGGGACCGUCCAAGAAGCUUUGUGCAACAUUGCCUGAAAAGCAUAGAGGCAGCUGCUCAUUAUACCUCCCAAAAUCUUCAAGAACAGAGCAAGGGUGUAUACAAAGUCCAGAGUGAACAGUCAUGUGAUUGGUACUCUGUAGACCUCGGAGACAAAGACCGUUUUCCAUCAUGUGAAUGCAGAUCUUUUAAAUCAUCUUUUUUACCCUGCAAGCAUUUUUUUGCUAUUUUCCAACACACUGACAGCUCCUGGUAUUCCUUGUGCCCAGAUUACAUAAACAGUCCAUAUGUCACUCUUGACUCAGAGGUGGUAUCAGGUCAGAAACACUUGCUGGUGAAAGAAGUGAUUGACAAGAGCAAGACUGUACAUCCUGUGGCCAAAGACAGUCUUGACAUUCAAUGCUUGAACAUGGAUGUGGAGGCAAAUGGUGUUUCCACUGCACAGAGUGGUCUACGAGAGAAAUUAAAAAUUCUCCUGGAUCUGUCAUACCUAUGCACUGAUCUUGAAUUGUUGCGAAAUGCGACUGCAGUCAUUGGUGAACUUGCAGGAAAGAUGAAAUGCUCUGUUCCAAAGGAAGAUGCUCUACCACUUCUAAGCAAGAAAGAUGAUGUGAAGCCGAAACUUCGUGUACUCCCAACCCAGAAAAGAAAAAGAAUGUUGAGAAACAAAAGAAGAAAAAUUGAAAAAAGAAACAGUGGUGACACGGGUGACCAGUCUGGUUCUUUGAAAGAAAACUCGCUGACAGAUUGUGCUACAAUAGCUUUGCCAGAGGCUGAGACACUUCUGGCAGAGCUGAACAAGCAUGAGAGUGUUGAGGUAGACAGUGGAGGUAGAUUGUCUGUGUGUGGACAGGUGUUAGGGAGCUGUGAUUUUGAAACUCUGAAACAUCCUCACUGGUUAAAUGAUAAGGUGAUAAAUGCAUAUUUGGACACUUUGAAACUCGAAAACAACACCAAAACCAACGCUGGAUACCACUGUUUCAAUAUUUCUACCUACAUGCCUCUACUUUGGGAGUGUGACAGAUUUGACUCCUGGAUGUUUGAAAA